rnacentral:rRNA from 1 species
AUGCAUUGGAGCCUCUUCAUCUUCUUCAAGCAUGAGAAUGGAAGGGAUGGGAUCAUCGAGCUCUUCUCCCAAGAGAGGUAUCUGAAUGCUAUGCAUCCAAACGCGCCGAAUCUCUUGAGAUACCUUGUUGCUGCAGUUGUCAUUAACAAAAGGAGAAGGGACAUGCUGAAGGAACUGAUCAAGGUCAUCCAGCAGGAUCAGAGCAGCUACAAGGAUCCGAUAAUCGAAUUCCCAGAGUGCUUGUAUGUACAGUAUGAUUUUGGUGGCGCGCAGCAGAAGCUUGUCCAGUGCGAGCAGUUUGCAUUGAAGUUGGGUCGAUUUGUCUUAAAGCUACAUCACAAGAUGCAAGGCUACAGAUAA